CCAGAGGGUCGGGCGAUCGCGUCGCCGCGCAAGCGGUGCCGAGGAAAGUCCGGGCUCCACGGAACAGCGGUGCCGGGUAACGCCCGGCGGUUUCCGGCCAGCGGCCGGGGAUCAGGGACAGUGCAACAGAGAGCAGACAAGCGACCGCUUCGGCGACGCGAGGGUGAAAGGGUGCGGUAAGAGCGCACCGCGGCCCCGGCAACGGGGACGGCAUUGCAAACCCCACCGGGAGCAAGACCGAAUAGGGGCGGCGCGCGGGGCAACCCGCAGGGCCUUGUUCCGGCCCAGUCGCCCGGGUUGGUUGCUGGAGGCCGUCAGCAAUGGCGGCCCGAGAGGAAUGAUCGCCCAGUCCCGGACCCGUUCCGGGAUGGACAGAACCCGGCUUACAGACCCUCUGGCAGA
rnacentral:RNase_P_RNA from 1 species